GGAGAGUUUUAUGAAGCAGUUUAUUGACCGCCAGCAACAGGACACAUGUUGCCUCCUGAGAAGCCUCCCGACCACCUCUUCCUCCUCCUGCGACCACUCCAAACGCUCAGCAAUUGAGGACAACAAAUACAUCGACCAAAAACUUCGCAAGUCUGUUUUCAGCAUCAGGGCAAGGAACCUUCUGGAAAAGGAGACCGCAGUCACUAAAAUCUUAAGCAAGAGGCCAUUACCGACGAGCUCACCCAUUAGCAUCCGCUGUUGUCUCUACUUGGGAAGAUCACAUUGUCACUCUAGUGGAGUCAGAAUGUAUAGGCUUUUUCCACACCCUUGUUCUGGGACAUUAAGAAAGAAGACAUGGAGACAAAGAAGAAAAGAACCGGGGACCCCCUGCUACUGUGUCUAUAAACAACUAGUGGUGUUUAAAGGCUAAUAAAGCUCCAAAGAUCUCUCUUAUAA
rnacentral:lncRNA from 1 species